AUGGAUGUUCAAGCCAGACAUUGCCAGAAGAACUACAUCUCUUCACCCAUAGAAAAAUGAAUGAUGUGACCAUUUGGUGCAGGACAACAGCAUUAUGUUCACCAGUCUCUGUACUGUAUGUUACUGCACAGCACGGACUGUAGGAAAAAGCCCAGAGGAGCAAUGAAGACAAAGAAGACACGACACCUGCAAAAAGUCAGUGAAGUAUUUCUACACAACAAACCUUCCAGGCUGCCAUGAUCCUCCCUCUGGACCCUGUGGUCAGGGUCGCUGCAGAGAUCCUCCCUUUGGACCCCGCCUGCCUGAAGGGCCCAUACCUUGGUCAGGAGUCUUAGAAGGACUGCCGUGAGCCAUGUCAUAAAAAGGAGAAAACAUCACAUUGGACAGCCCCAAUUCCUGCAUAUACAGACGGGAAACUUAGGUGCACUGGGUCCCUUGAGAGUCCAUAUGAAUUUUAGGAUAGAUUUUUCUAUUUGUGCAAAAAACAUCAUUAGAAUUUUUACCUCCUUGAGUUCUCCGCCACCAACUUCCAUAACCAUCAGGAUAUUCUACAACUUCUGCAAGAGUAACAAUUUUACCUUACACUGUAUUUGUCUCAUGUGGUUUAAAACAUCCAGAAAUCAUUGAUAAACUGACCCUGCCCAAACUAAAGCAUGGUGAGUUAUAAAAGAUGGUCGCUGUUAAGUGGGGAGGGAUUGCAGGUUGAACUUAAUUUUAUAAGUGGUCAAUUUAUUACAAUAUAUUGUUCUAUUAUCUAUUUCACUUCUUUUUUAAAAAAAGUGAUAUUUGAGGGCACUUAGAUAAUAAAAAGUUGAGAAGAUAACGAACUGAUAUACUCUGUAAGCUUGAAAUGUUUUCAAGCAUAAGAUACAAUAAGAACUAAAACUAAGAAAUGACAGAGGAAAUAGAGAUAAGAGGAUGAAAUUGCAAAACUGAAUCUAUAAUAAUAUCUCAAUGGCUAGCGCUGUGGUGCCAAGAAGGUGGUGAAGUCAAAGAAUUCGUAAAGAUGAUAAUAGACUGCAAAGAAAAAAGACUGAAAUUUUUGCAGAGAGAAUUUUUACAGCGAUAUUACAGAUAGAGAACAGGGAAGAGAAGUUGGAGUGAGAGACUAUCUUCUUAAAUUACUUCCACUGUAGAGAACAAAAAACCAAUUUGCUGAAAUCUUUAUUCCCUUCUAUGACCCUGUGGAAGAUCAAGAUUUGGCCACCCUGAAAUCUAUCUCUUUACCUUGGUUGUUUUCUCUGAGGGCAUUUGACCUCCCCCACUAACUGCCUAAAGUAUUUAAAACAAAACAUCUGUUUCAGGAAGGAGUUAUUAUCAUGAUGGCUGUAAAUAUAAUGUACAAUAGAUGUUACAAUAGAAAAGACACCAACAAGCCCAUCUUAUCAGAAGUUCUGUCUCUGACCAUAUUCUUUGGAUGGCCCUGCAAGGAGUUGCCAGACAGACAUUUACAUUUAUAAGGGAAAUCUCCAUUUGUAAAGGUAUCUGCCUCUCUGAAUUGGGAAGAGGGGGAAUGACCUCAUUUCUAGAAACUUAUCAAUGUAAAAGGUGAGGCCUUAAAUCUGCAUAAUAACCUCACUCUUGUUUACUGUGCUUUAGUGGUAAUCUCCUGUAACUGACUCCCCCCACCCCCAACAUCUUCCUUUGUCAUUGGCUGAACAUGAUAUUUAAGAUGAGAAUUCUGCUAUUGUGUUGAGAAACGUAGUGUCUUUGCUUUCUCCCAUGCAUACAUGUUAUUAAACUUGGUAUUAUUUUCUCCUUCUAACCUGUCUUGUUAAUUAUUUGGCCAGCCAUAAGAACCUUAAGGAAAAGGGCAGAGGGAGAUUCUCCCUCUAUCCCGACAACACUAUCUUUACGUGCAAAAUCUCAGCCCUGAAUGAAUGUCACAUUCCUCCUUUUGCAUCCCUGGGGAACAGGGCAAAUAAGCUCAUCUGAAACCUCAGCUGCCCAGCCUGUGAAAUAAGGCCGGCCAUCCAUUCUCACAGAGGAGCCAACUGGAGCCAGAAGAACCUUAAGGGAAAGGGCAGAGGGAGAUUCUCCCUCUUCCCCCGACAGUUUUGGCGUAGUCGCCAGGAGCCACACUGGCUGGCAAGUUGCCUUCUCUGGCUGGAAGACCUGCCUUCUCCCUGGACUACUGCAGAUGGUGAGAUACGGGAACGCCUGACAAAAGCCGGCAAAAGGUAAGACUUCUUACCAUGUCAGCCUCUCGGAAUCUCUAUCUGCGGAGUCUGGCGGAAGGAAAUGGCGUAACCUUGAGAGCCCACCUGCAU